rnacentral:rRNA from 1 species
AGAUGCAGACUUAGUGGCGGACGGGUGAGUAAUGUAUGAGCAACCUGCCUUCAAGAGGGGGACAACAGUUGGAAACGACUGCUAAUACCGCAUGACACAUAGAGAUCGCAUGGUUUUAUGUCAAAGAUUUAUCGCUGAAAGAUGGCCUCGCGUCUGAUUAGCUAGUUGGUGAGGUAACGGCCCACCAAGGCGACGAUCAGUAGCCGGACUGAGAGGUUGACCGGCCACAUUGGGACUGAGAUACGGCCCAGACUCC